UGGGGGAUAUUGCACAAUGGGCGAAAGCCUGAUGCAGCGACGCCGCGUGGGGGAUGAAGGCCUUCGGGUUGUAAACUUCUUUUGCUCUGAACAAGGCAUGCUAAUGGGUGUGUUGAGUGUAGGGGUUGAUUAGCGCCGGCUAACUACGUGCCAGCAGCCGCGGUAAUACGUAGGGCGCGAGCGUUGUCCGGAAUUAUUGGGCGUAAAGGGCUUGUAGGUGGCUGGUUGCGUCUGUCGUGAAAGCUCAUGGCUUAACUGUGGGUUUGCGGUGGGUACGGGCCGGCUUGAGUGCAGUAGGGGAGGCUGGAAUUCCUGGUGUAGCGGUGGAAUGCGCAGAUAUCAGGAGGAAUACCGGUGGCGAAGGCGGGUCUCUGGGCUGUUACUGACACUGAGGAGCGAAAGCAUGGGGAGCGAACAGG
rnacentral:rRNA from 1 species